rnacentral:rRNA from 1 species
GCUGGCGGNGUGCCUAACACAUGCAAGUCGAACGUCCUGCGGGGCAACCGCAGGGAGUGGCGGACGGGUGAGUAACACAUGGGAGCCUACCUUGCAGUGAGGGAUACCGGCGAGAAAUCGCCGACAAGCCCGCAUACGCUCUCUUCGCGGAGAGAGGAAAGCUUCUCCUGUGAGGGGGAGGCGCUGGGAGAGGGGCCUGUGGCCGAUUANCUGGUUGGUGGGGUAAAGGCUCACCAAGGCGACGAUCGGUCGCUGGUCUGAGAGGACGAUCAGCCACACUGGGAUUGANAACGGCCCAGACUCCUACGGGGGGCAGCAGUGAGGAAUUUUCCGCAAUGGGGGCAACCCUGACGGAGCAACGCCGCGUGCAGGAAGACNCUCUUCGGAGUGUAAACUGCUUUACUUGGGGACGAGAAUGGACGGUACCCAANCAAUCAGCCCCGGCUAACUACGUGCCAGCAGCCAAGGGAACNAACGGGAUUAAUACC